rnacentral:rRNA from 1 species
GACGAAGGAUGCAAGCGUUAUCCGGAUUCAUUGGGUUUAAAGGGAGCGUAGGUGGCCUUAUAAGUCAGUGGUGAAAUCUCUGGGCUUAACCCAGAAAUUGCCAUUGAUACUGUAGGGCUUGAGUAUAGAUGCCGUUGGCGGAAUAUGACAUGUAGUGGUGAAAAUACAUAGAGAUGUCAUAGAACACCCGAUUGCGAAGGCAGCUAACGAAAACUAUAACUGACACUGAGGCUCGAAAAGUGUGGGGGAUCAAACAGG